GCGCUGUUGUCAUGGUAACCAAUACCCGCCUCUUUGCCCUGGGAGCUUGCUUGCGGCCUGUUUCUUCAGGCCUUCAGACUUGGGUCUUGGACUGGAACCACACCACCGCUUUCCUGGACUUCCAGCUUGCAGAGGGACUUCUCAGCCUCCAAAAUCGAGUCUGAACUGCCAGAGGCACCAAGCCACCCAAAAUCUGUAUAGCGUGAGUCACAAACCAAACAAGUCUUACUGUGUCUGAAUUCCGG